rnacentral:rRNA from 1 species
CCUACGGGAGGCUGCAGUGGGGAAUAUUGCACAAUGGGGGAAACCCUGAUGCAGCGACGCCGCGUGAGUGAAGAAGUAAUUCGUUAUGUAAAGCUCUAUCAGCAGGGAAGAAAAUGACGGUACCUGAGUAAGAAGCCCCGGCUAACUACGUGCCAGCAGCCGCGGUAAUACGGAGGGGGCAAGCGUUAUCCGGAUUUACUGGGUGUAACGGGAGCGUAGACGGCAGUGCAAGUCUGGAGUGAAAGGCGGGGGCUCAACCCCCGGACUGCUCUGGAAACUGUACGGCUGGAGUGCAGGAGAGGUAAGUGGAAUUCCUAGUGUAGCGGUGAAAUGCGUAGAUAUUAGGAGGAACACCAGUGGCGAAGGCGGCUUACUGGACUGUAACUGACGUUGAGGCUCGAAAGCGUGGGGAGCAAACAGGAUUAGAUACCCUAGUAGUC